rnacentral:rRNA from 1 species
AUGGCAAAAUUCUGGUGGGGGAGCUCCCUAGAUAAUCGGUCCUUGCACUGGAUUGCCUGGGACGAGCUGGCCACGCCUAAGUGCAAGGGCGGAAUGGGUUUCCGCGUUCUCCGUAUGUUCAACUUGGCCUUACUAGGGAAGCAUGGAUGGCGUUUUAUGAUGAAUCCGAACUCCCUUUGUGCCAAGGUGAUGAAAGGAAGAUAUUUCCCAGACACAGAUUUCCUACAUGCUUCGGUUCCCAAGUCCUCAUCCGCUACCUGGCGGGCAAUUGUGGCGGGCCGUGAAGCACUGCAGGCCGGUCUGGUGAAGCGAGUAGGCGACGGAUCGUCCAUAUCAAUAUGGGAGGAUAAAUGGAUUCCUUCCACCAUCAAGAUGUCUCCUCUGUUACGUCCAGCUAACACCAUGGUGCAAACCGUGAAUGAAUUGAUAGACCCACUGGACAUGGCGGACGGAGCAGGUUCGGGAGAUCUUCAUCGCGCCGGACGCCGCAGCCAUUCUGAAAAUUCCGUUGCGGCACGGCGGGGGCGAAGACUUCUAUGCAUGGGCCUUUGA